rnacentral:tRNA from 1 species
GGUCACGUAGCUCAGCCUGGCCAGAGCGGCUGACUUGUAAACUUCGUCAAGAACUUCGUCAAGAGAUCAGCAGGUCGUGGGUCCAAAUCCCACCGUGACCU